AUCCUUCUUCAUCGUAGCUUGAUUAUGGCCUCCAUCUUUCACGAACUCCAAAUCGAUUCCACAAUCCAACUUCGACGAGCUCAAACUUGAUUCCAAAUUCGGGACAAAGCCUAUCUCAAGAGUGAAAAAGAUAUGAAGUUGGGGGAUCGAAAAGCAGCAGAGACUGAAAAUUUGGAAUAUUCUGCUAACUCAGCUUAUGUGAAGAUUAUUCUUUUGGUAUUCAAUGAUUCUACAUAGUGUGCAGAUUCCAAACUCAUUGGCAAUACAACUAUAAAGAUUUAUGAAAUAUCAUCGGGUUACGGUUACCUAAGAAAGAUGAUGUUGCUCACAAAACUGACUUUGAUGAAGAACUUACCUCUACACAGGUUAUCAUGAAUUUGGGAUACUUGGGCAAUCUAACUAACUUGAUUAAGUUUAGAAGAAAGAAUAAGCCACCAGUUUGAUACCAUUUAUUCUCCAUUGUUAAUAGAUGUUUAAUUGGCAUGACUAGAGGCCAAGAUGAAGGAAGCUUCAUAUUGUUGUCAAUUUUUAUUGGCAUUGCUAGGUACAAACACUAUGACUAUGGGUUCUUAUUAUGGGAAAACAUCAGAGAAUAUCUUGCUGUUGAAAACAACUACAUUCCAUAUCAAAGAUUCUAGCUUAUGGUGAUUUAGAAUAUCUUACAAGAGAAUGAUUCGAUAGACAAAAGAAUUGGAGAGCCUACUGCCCCGUUGUAUUACUUGGAUUCUCUGAGGCCAUCAACUCCAUAUUUUGAAUUUCAAAGACAUAAGAUCGGAUAGAGAAUUCUUAUACGAGAUCCUGAGUGAGGUUAUCAAAGCAGGUGCAAUGACUAUUGACAGCUGAUACCGUUGGCUAUUGUUUGCCUCGUGAGUUUGGACAACUCGUUGCUGACAUAAAAGCCAACACUCUUGGCAUUGAGAAUGUCGUUUGUGCUAUCCAUUGCCAAUAAUGAUCUAGGACUGGCUGUUGUCAAUACUAUAGAGGGGAUUUCUUCAGGUGCAACACAAGUAGAUGUAACAAUAAACAGAAUCGAAGAGAGAGAGAGAGAUGGUAAUGCUUCUUUGGAAGAGGUGGUAAUGACUAUGAAAUGCAAAGGAGAGUUAUUAGGUGUUAAUGACUGUUGGUGCUAAUGCUUUUUCCCAUG